rnacentral:lncRNA from 1 species
CGCAAAUUCAUUAGAAAAGUCGACGAUUUAAACUAAAAUUUGAGGAAAAUGACCAACUUGAAACUUUUAAAAGAUAAGAGACCAAAUUGAAACCUAAAAUAAACAUAAGAGACCAAAUAUGCAAUUAAUUCUAAUUUUUAACAACCUAAAACCUUCUCAAUCUAGAAUCUUUGUUUGAUGACUUGAUGUUGUUUUGAAUUUUAAAAUUUGUUAAGCUGUUUUGAUUGUUAAGUGAUUAUAUAAAUAAGCUGUUUUGAUU